ensembl:snoRNA SNORA35 small nucleolar RNA, H/ACA box 35
CAGCACUGGCAAGUGACCCAUUGGGCUUCUCCUUGACCAACUUGGGCAUCGAGCAGUGCAAAAGUGAAUCCCUCCCCAAAUCUGGGAAAGUCAUGCUGUGGACUAUUCCUGCAUGCAGGAGGGUACAUAA